CCUGUGAAGAGGAAAAAUAAAUUAGCAGAGUGUGUGGACUGAAUGACAUCAUGCUGGAUUCAUGACAAGCUCAACACAACACCGCCCUCAGCCCCUCUGACCAUAGCUGGGAGCAGCAUGGAGAGGAGACGACAGAAGAGCAUGAGCAGCACAGAGCAGGUUCGGGGAACAUGGAAGACAGGAGAGAAGAAAGAAGAAAAGAGACCAAGAACUGCAGAUGCGCUGUGAAACCUGUCUCCUGAAUACGACCCGACUGCUGCACUCAAGAAUUUGCAGACGUGGAAAUUACUCAGACAAGAUCAAGUCUAGAGUAAGGCCACCAGCAUUCCAUCACAUAUGCAGGAGGAACUCAUAUGACCUGACCCGCCCCAAGGAGCUAUAGGAAGCUAAGGGUUGCUGGGGGAGGGGCAUCCUGUUCCCCAGCUAUUAGCUUUCAUUUUCAUUUUAAUAUUGUUUUACGUCUUUAUAUUUAAAAAUAUUUUAAUUAAAACAUUAUGGGCAGAUUAUGGGUAUGUCUGAAGAGAAGGCUCAGCAGUUAGGAACAAUUGCUGCUCUUACAGAAGACUUAGUUUCUGUUCCCAGCAU